ACAGGUUAAUAUUCCUGUACUUGGUGUUACUGCGAAGGGGGGACGGAGAAGGCUAUGUUGGCCGGGCGACGGUUGUCCCGGUUUAAGCGUGUAGGCUGGUUUUCCAGGCAAAUCCGGAAAAUCAAGGCUGAGGCGUGAUGACGAGGCACUACGGUGCUGAAGCAACAAAUGCCCUGCUUCCAGGAAAAGCCUCUAAGCAUCAGGUAACAUCAAAUCGUACCCCAAACCGACACAGGUGGUCAGGUAGAGAAUACCAAGGCGCUUGAGAGAACUCGGGUGAAGGAACUAGGCAAAAUGGUGCCGUAACUUCGGGAGAAGGCACGCUGAUAUGUAGGUGAAGUCCCUCGCGGAUGGAGCUGAAAUCAGUCGAAGAUACCAGCUGGCUGCAACUGUUUAUUAAAAACACAGCACUGUGCAAACACGAAAGUGGACGUAUACGGUGUGACGCCUGCCCGGUGCCGGAAGGUUAAUUGAUGGGGUUAGCGCAAGCGAAGCUCUUGAUCGAAGCCCCGGUAAACGGCGGCCGUAACUAUAACGGUCCUAAGGUAGCGAAAUUCCUUGUCGGGUAAGUUCCGACCUGCACGAAUGGCGUAAUGAUGGCCAGGCUGUCUCCACCCGAGACUCAGUGAAAUUGAACUCGCUGUGAAGAUGCAGUGUACCCGCGGCAAGACGGAAAGACCCCGUGAACCUUUACUAUAGCUUGACACUGAACAUUGAGCCUUGAUGUGUAGGAUAGGUGGGAGGCUUGGAAGUGUGGACGCCAGUCUGCAUGGAGCCGACCUUGAAAUACCACCCUUUAAUGUUUGAUGUUCUAACGUUGACCCGUAAUCCGGGUUGCGGACAGUGUCUGGUGGGUAGUUUGACUGGGGCGGUCUCCUCCUAAAGAGUAACGGAGGAGCACGAAGGUUGGCUAAUCCUGGUCGGACAUCAGGAGGUUAGUGCAAUGGCAUAAGCCAGCUUGACUGCGAGCGUGACGGCGCGAGCAGGUGCGAAAGCAGGUCAUAGUGAUCCGGUGGUUCUGAAUGGAAGGGCCAUCGCUCAACGGAUAAAAGGUACUCCGGGGAUAACAGGCUGAUACCGCCCAAGAGUUCAUAUCGACGGCGGUGUUUGGCACCUCGAUGUCGGCUCAUCACAUCCUGGGGCUGAAGUAGGUCCCAAGGGUAUGGCUGUUCGCCAUUUAAAGUGGUACGCGAGCUGGGUUUAGAACGUCGUGAGACAGUUCGGUCCCUAUCUGCCGUGGGCGCUGGAGAACUGAGGGGGGCUGCUCCUAGUACGAGAGGACCGGAGUGGACGCAUCACUGGUGUUCGGGUUGUCAUGCCAAUGGCACUGCCCGGUAGCUAAAUGCGGAAGAGAUAAGUGCUGAAAGCAUCUAAGCACGAAACUUGCCCCGAGAUGAGUUCUCCCUGACUCCUUGAGAGUCCUGAAGGAACGUUGAAGACGACGACGUUGAUAGGCCGGGUGUGUAAGCGCAGCGAUGCGUUGAGCUAACCGGUACUAAUGAACCGUGAGG
rnacentral:rRNA from 1 species